CGGGCAGGAAUUUGCUACUUGGAAAUGCCGGGUAGGAAAGUCAUAGGAAUGAAGUGUAUGAGACUCGAAACGGGCUGAGGAGGUGUGGUGCCCAUGGUCUCUAUCUGAAGAAUCUCAGCUUUCCAUGCUCACGGGUAGAGAGAGGGGUGAGCACACUGGCCAGCCUCUACAGAUGAUUCCAGUGUGCAGCCAAGUUUGAAAACCAGUAUCUUAGCCGACUGUGUGGAGCAUGAGAAGCCAGCACAGGAAGCAGUGGAGAGCGCUGGGACUGUACACGUGAGUGGAGACUAGAUGUGUGGUCUUGGGCAAGCCAUUUAAACUCAUGUAGCCUUGGGCUCUUCUUUGUAAAUUGGUUAUAACCUGUGCUUACUUCCCAGAACUGAUUUGAAGAUCAAGGAGAAAAUGUAGGUUAAGUGUUUUAUGAGUUGUAGAGUGUAAUAUAAAUGUCCUGAUCAACGGGUAAUAUAUAUUGUACAUCCAUACAAAUAUGUG
rnacentral:lncRNA from 1 species